UACGUAGGGUGCAAGCGUUGUCCGGAAUUAUUGGGCGUAAAGAGCUCGUAGGCGGUCUGUCGCGUCGGCUGUGAAAACUCGGGGCUCAACCCCGAGCCUGCAGUCGAUACGGGCAGACUAGAGUGCUGUAGGGGAGACUGGAAUUCCUGGUGUAGCGGUGAAAUGCGCAGAUAUCAGGAAGAACACCAAUGGCGAAGGCAGCUCUCUGGGACGGUACUGACGCUGAGACGCGAAAGCGUGGGGAGCGAACAGG
rnacentral:rRNA from 1 species